GGCGUCUAUUUAAGAGGCAGACAACCGUAGGAGGAACCAUUCUUCUCUCCGUCUCCGCUCAGGCCAAGGACGACUGCCUUUACCAUAGAACCAUAAUGAACGUAACACACUGGGCGCUGGCCCUCCUGCUGGCGCUGAUGGGGGUCCUCACCUCAGUCAGCGCUGAACCCGCCCCUGACCCCGAGCCCUUCAAGAAAAGGAAAGGAGGUCACUACUAUCGCCCAGUCAUAGUGAUGCGCAGCUACGGUGGCGGCUACGGGGGCGGACACGGCGGCGGCGGUUACGGAGGUGGAAAGGGAAAGGGCGGUGGCAUUUUCAAAGGUGGAUUUGGCGGUGGACUCUUCAAGGGUGGAAAGGGUAAAGGCGGAGGCGGCUACGGAGGUGGAAAGGGAAAGGGCGGUGGUGGAUAUGGUGGUGGAAAGGGUAAAGGCAAGGGUGGCGGCUUUUUCAAAGGCUUCCGUGGACUCUUCAAAGGCGGAAAAGGUAAGGGCGGCGGAGGCUAUGGCGGCGGAAAAGGCAAAGGCGGUGGAGGCUACGGAGGCGGCGGACAUGGAGGCGGUGGCUAUGGCGGCGGCGGCUAUGGCGGUGGACAUGGAGGCGGCGGCUAUGGCGGUGGACAUGGAGGCGGCGGCUAUGGCGGUGGACAUGGUGGCGGCGGCUAUGGCGGUGGAUAUGGAGGCGGCGGCGGCUACGGGCGGUAAGGAUGCACCAUCACAACACCAUGAGGACUUCACGUGACACCUUAAGUACCAUAACCAUAUUGGGCCACUGACUACAAGCACUCCAAGGGGAACAGUCAUCCUCCUCUCCCCCACCCCCCUCUUCCUCCUCCUCUUCCUCCUCCCCAACAUGGACGUAAACACAACACUGGCUCCCACCUACUAAGAACCUGCGUCUCUUAAUUAAUCAUUCAUACGUCAAAAAAAUAUCAAAACUCUAUUUCAGCGAUCUAUUUCACAUCUACUUAUUCUUGAGAGGUUAAGAAUAUUUUCGUCAUUCUUGUUCAGAGGGAAAAUUUUACAGUAUAGUCAUUGAUAUAUAUUUUGAAUUGUAGUUUAUUUUAUUACCUGGAUAUAAUUACAAGCUUUUAAGUGUAAUUUUAUGGCCUUUAAGUUCCAUCACCUUUAAGCUUCGUUCCACAGUUUGUAAGUUCUAUUUCACCCGUUCCAUCAUCUGCAAGUUCUGUUUCACCCGUUAUAUCGCCUGCAAGUUCUGUUCCACCCGUUCCAUCAUUUGCAAGUUCCGUUCCAUCCGUUCCAUCGCCUGCAACUUCUGUUCCGCCCGUUCCAUCGCCUGCAAGUUCCGUUCCACCCGUUCCAUUACCAACAAGUUCCGUUCCAUCCGUUCCAUCACCUUUAAGUUCCGAGCCAUCCGUUCCAUCACCUGCAACUUCUGUUCCACCCGUUCCAUCACCUGCAAGUUCCGUUGAUUUGCUUUAUUUUCACUUGUUAAAGCUGGAAAUUCAAAGUUUUCCUCACUUGUUCAAAGCUGAAAGUUCAAAAUAUCUCUUCCAUACAUUUGUUCAUACCUGGAGCCUUGGAGAGUCUCCCUAACACCUGUUCAUAAUAAUUGUUCUUAGUUCAUUUAGUUUUUCUCAACUGAAACUACAAUAUUUCGUCACCUUACAAAUGACAUCAAGCAGUCUUUCUCUAUAGUCUAUAUCGCAGAUAACUUCCCUAUAGUCAGGUAGAUAUCUUACGUUGUCAUUUUAUCUAGGUAUUCCUAUAAAUUACUAAAUGAAAAAGGAAUAUCCCAUCCACAUUCACACACUGAAAGAAUUAAAUCUGGUUCUAAGAUCUCUAAACUCAAAAGAUACUAAGACAUUUUUGCCAGCAUCACAGACGUAGCCUGAGUGUUUGCUUAUAUUUGUGCCCGAUGGGUCUUGUCUUCAUGUCAGUCACAGGUGCCCGAUGGGUCUUGUCUUCAUGUCAGUCACAGGUGCCCGAUGAGUCUUGUCUUCAUGUCAGUCACAGGUGCCCGAUGGGUCUUGUCUUCAUGUCAGUCACAGGUGCCCGAUGGGUCUUGUCUUCAUGUCAGUCACAGGUGCCCGAUGGGUCUUGUCUUCAUCUUGUCUACGUUGUGAAUUGUAUUUUUGUUUGUCUAUCCAAUAUUUGUAAAUUUUGUUUAUAAUAAGAUAUGUGAAAAAUAUUA
rnacentral:misc_RNA from 1 species